rnacentral:rRNA from 1 species
CGGAAGUACCCCAAUCGUAACAAGGUCUCCGUUGGUGAACCAGCG